UUAAAUUGAAGAGUUUGAUCAUGGCUCAGAUUGAACGCUGGCGGCAGGCCUAACACAUGCAAGUCGAACGGUAACAGAAAGAAGCUUGCUUCUUUGCUGACGAGUGGCGGACGGGUGAGUAAUGUCUGGGAAACUGCCUGAUGGAGGGGGAUAACUACUGGAAACGGUAGCUAAUACCGCAUAACGUCGCAAGACCAAAGAGGGGGACCUUCGGGCCUCUUGCCAUCGGAUGUGCCCAGAUGGGAUUAGCUAGGUAGGUGGGGUAACGGCUCACCUAGGCGACCGAUCCCUAGCUGGUCGUGAGACGGAUGACCAGCCACACUGGAACUG
rnacentral:rRNA from 1 species